rnacentral:snoRNA from 1 species
GGGUUGUGCUCAGAGCAUGAGCUGACAGAAAUGGCUCCUGCUUACACAGACCCAGCAGGGAAUCUGGGUUAUUGUGACAAGGGCCAAACUCGUGGCCUUCCUCUGAAACAGAGUAACCUACGUGC